GCUGGAGUAGCUCAGUCGGCAGAGCACGUCCUUGGUAAGGACGGGGUCACGAGUUCGAUUCUCGUCUCCAGCU
rfam:Omnitrophica WOR_2 bacterium SM23_72 WORSMTZ_176, whole genome shotgun sequence.